UCUCUCUGUCUCUCUCUCUGUCUCUGUCUCUCUCUCUCUCUCUCUCUCUCUCACACACACACACACACACACACGCAUACAGAGAGAGAGAGAGAGAGAGAGAGAGAGAGAGAGAGAGAGAAGGCUGGG
rnacentral:miRNA from 1 species